rnacentral:rRNA from 1 species
CAGCCGCCGCGGUAACACAGAGGGUGCAAGCGUUAAUCGGAAUUACUGGGCGUAAAGCGCGCGUAGGUGGUUUGUUAAGUUGGAUGUGAAAGCCCCGGGCUCAACCUGGGAACUGCAUCCAAAACUGGCAAGCUAGAGUACGGUAGAGGGUGGUGGAAUUUCCUGUGUAGCGGUGAAAUGCGUAGAUAUAGGAAGGAACACCAGUGGCGAAGGCGACCACCUGGACUGAUACUGACACUGAGGUGCGAAAGCGUGGGGAGCAAACAGGAUUAGAUACCCCUGUAGUCCCUGUCUCUUAUAC